rnacentral:lncRNA from 1 species
GAUAACCCCUUAUCCCUCUUUAUACCUAAACGCAAAUUUUUUAUCUGAGAAUAGUAGUUUUCGGAUUUCUAAAAUAAUCUAGUAUAACUAUUCCUACCAACACCUCUAUUUUUUAUAUAUAAUUACCUAUUAUUUUUCUUAUUCCAUAUUAUCUAUCCAAACGCUAUUUCUCUUAUUCCCGGAAAUAACCCAAUUUUCAUUCAAACGCUAUUUUUUUUAUUCCUAUACUUGUACCUAUUCUCGUAAUAGCUAGUUCUUACUUAUACCUAAAUCAAACGCUACCUUAGAGAAAAAUAACUAUGUCGCAUUAUAUGAAAAUUCGAAUUUUCUCCAUUAACUUACU